CGUCAGCGACCCAACCGCCUGCCCGAUUCCCGGCCAUGGCCCCAAUCCAAUUGUCGCCGGCUCCCCCGACGU
rfam:Pseudomonadales bacterium RIFCSPHIGHO2_02_FTLL_60_43 rifcsphigho2_02_scaffold_2088, whole genome shotgun sequence.